UACGGAGGGUGCAAGCGUUAAUCGGAAUUACUGGGCGUAAAGCGUGCGCAGGCGGUUUGUUAAGUCUGUUGUGAAAUCCCCGAGCUCAACUUGGGAAUUGCAAUGGAUACUGGCAGGCUGGAGUAUGGUAGAGGAAGGUGGAAUUCCCGGUGUAGCAGUGAAAUGCGUAGAGAUCGGGAGGAACACCAGUGGCGAAGGCGGCCUUCUGGACCGGCCCUGACACUGAGACGCGAAGGCGUGGGGAGCGAACGGG
rnacentral:rRNA from 1 species